rnacentral:tRNA from 1 species
GGUGGCUCAGUGGUAGAGUGCUUGCCUUGGAAGCAUGCAUGAGGCCCUGGGUUCAAUUCCUCAGCACCA